rnacentral:misc_RNA from 1 species
AGUUUUAUGCCUGUCACUGUUUCUUGCGCUUUGCUUCAAUGACUAAAAAUAGUGAUGAUGUAAUACUCAAUUUCUGUCAGGAAUCUCUGUUUCUUUUUCUGCUCAGACAAAUGUGUGAAUGGGAGAUGUGGCGAUGCACUGGGAUUAUGUUAAUUCAUUAUUGUAAAUGCAUUUAUCACAUCCUGUAGAUAGUGACAUCAUUCAAGACAAUCAUAAUGCCAUCUUUGAUUCCCCCAAUGAUUCUAGCCAAUCAUGAUAUGUGAAACAAAGCACACAAAGGCUUUACACAAUAAUUCUGUGACGGCUAUUCUGAUUGGACAGUGAUCAUUGGGCUUGAAUGAAUGUUUUUACUUGGUAGAUGAUGAACAAAAUUAAUGUGUGUUAAAGUGAAUAUAUGUAUUUUUUUUUCAUAUUGACUCCAUGGCGAGUUCGUAGAUGAAAGAAGGUCAAGAAAUGCAAAUUUUUAACAACCUUUUUGGGCAUGAUCAAAAUUAUGAAACAUUUUUUUUUGCAUAUUUCAAUGUUCAUGGCAUUAAAGCUAAUUCUUUUAAAAAUAAAGUUUCUAAGAAAAAUAU